rnacentral:tRNA from 1 species
GCGGGAAUAGCUCAGUUGGCAGAGCGUCAGCCUUCCAAGCUGAUUGUCGCGGGUUCGAACCCCGUUUCCCGCUCCA